rnacentral:ncRNA from 1 species
GAAGUCGCACGGGGGUCCGGCAUCNGCUGGUGAGAUAAUACCCUUUGUACCUGUUUACGGGUUAUGCCGCUGCAGGGAGUGCCGGAAAUAUUUCC